rnacentral:tRNA from 1 species
UGCUUGGGUAGCUCAGUUGGUAGAGCAUUUGCCCGCAAAAGGCAAAGGUCCCGAGUUCAAAUCUCGGUCCAGCAU